UAAUUCUCGACCGAAAUCAAUGCCCUUCGGUAACGUUAGAUAGACCGCGCGCGUUAAUGAUCGCGGACGUAUUGUGCGUAGUUACGUAACUCGUUUGACGUUUUAACACAUUAUCGGGCUAUCAGCUAAACUAACAAGUUGUUAGAAUAUUAACAGAGUAAAUAAUGAUAUGUUCAUGUACUCCAUAGAUAUGUAAUAGUGAAACGAGAUGAAUAUCAUGGGAUCAUAAGAAAUCUUAUUGGGUGUAAAUCAAAAUGGACUUUGUAAUCGGUGGCUUAGCCGGUGCAGGCGCUACCAUAUUUACGAAUCCCAUGGACGUGGUAAAAACCCGGCUACAGUUACAAGGGGAGCUGCGCGCACGCACCGAGCACACCACAAGAUAUAGGGGAAUUUUUCAUGGGGUGUACGUCAUAGCUAAGACAGACGGAGCAUUAGCACUCCAGAAAGGUUUAGUACCAGCUAUGGUUCUCGGUUUCUGUAUGAAUUCGGUGAGGUUGGGAAUGUAUCACGUGGCUGACGUUCAGGGUUGGACACGAACGACAGAUGGUGAUAUCAGCAUUCACAAGACCAUGUUUUGGUCAAGCGCGAGCGGCGUUAUGAGUGGACUAGCCGCCAACCCUGCAUCUGUCGUGAAGACAAGAAUGCAGGCGGCAGCUCAUCCGAGUAUCGCUGUCGGAAGACAAUAUGUUUAUAAUGGUAUGAUAGACGGUUGCGUUAAAAUUUACAAAAUGGAGGGAAUUAAAGGUUUCUUUGCGGGAGUGAACGCGACAUGCACUAGAUUGGCAGUUGGCAGUGCAGCCCAACUCACAACAUUUUCAACUGCAAAAGAAACUUUGCUGUAUUAUGGCAUAUGCGAGAAAACACCUUUGGGACUUGCAUUUGCGGCAAGCUGUUUAAGCGGCCUUAUGGUAGCUCUAGCGAUCUGCCCACUUGAUGUCGUAGCUGUACGACUAUACAAUCAGGAAUUAAACAAAACCUGAUCGCUCAAGGUUACAUGGAGAAUUCUCCAGCAGGCCUCGCGUUCACCUCCAGCAUAGCUUGUGGGAUCGUAUGUGUUUUGUUGGAAACGCCGCUGGAUGUAGUCAAUACGCGGCUUUAUAAUCAGGGGCCUGCGAAACAAGGAAAACUCCUCUACAACGGAGUUCUUGACUGUCUUAGAAAAAUUUAUAUGACUGAAGGACUUCACGGCCUCUAUAAAGGCAUAGGACCACUCUACCUCAGAAUAGCACCUCAUACUACCCUAUCUCUCGUAAUAUGGGACAUGCUGAAUAUAAUAGUCACGAAUAAAAGGAAAUCAUAAA